rnacentral:rRNA from 1 species
GAUGAACGCCGGCGGUGGUGCCUAAUACAUGCAGUCGUACGCACUGGCCAACGUGAGUUGAGUGGUGCUUGGCACCUGAUUGACGAUGGAUCACAAGCGAGCGGCGGACGGGUGAGUAACACGUGGGUAACCUGCCCAAGAGACUGGGAUAACACCUGGAAACAGAUGCUAAUACCGGAUAACAACACUAGACGCAUGUCUAGAGUUUGAAAGAUGGUUCUGCUAUCACUCUUGGAUGGACCUGCGGUGCAUUAGCUAGUUGGUGGGUAAAAGCCUACCAAGGCGACGAUCAGUAGCCGACCUGAGAGGGUGAUCGGCCACAUUGGAACUGAGACACGGUCCAA